rnacentral:rRNA from 1 species
GGAGAGUUUGAUCCUGGCUCAGGAUGAACGCUGGCGGCGUGGAUAAGGCAUGCAAGUCAAACGGGUCCCGACGGCAACGUCGGGAUACAGUGGCGAACGAGUUAGUAAUACCUUGGAACGUACCCUCGAGAUGAGAAUAACCCAUCGAAAGGUGGGCUAAUACUCAAUGGUCUGAUAGCCGAUUCUUACUUACAAGAAUCGAAAUUUUUAAUUUUUAAUUUUUAAUUUUUAUUGAAUUUUCAGUUAUUUAAUUUUUUAAAAUUAAGUCAUUGAGAUUUGAUUGGAAAUUGGAAAUUGGAAAUUGGAAAUUCCGAGUAACUCUUGCGGGUAGUAAUCGGUUAUCAGUAAAGACUCGCAAGAGUUACUCGGGGAGCGGCCUAGGUCCUAUCAGCUUGUUGGCGGGGUAAAAGCCCACCAAGGCUAUGACGGGUAGGGGGUGUGAGAGCACGGCCCCCAACGAGGGAACUGAGAUACGGUCCUUACACCUACGGGUGGCUGCAGUCGAGAAUAUUCGACAAUGGGCGAAAGCCUGAUCGAGCGACGCCGCGUGCGGGAAGAAGUGCUUCGGCAUGUAAACCGCUUUUGCGUGGGAAGAAAUAGCCCCCCGACUCUGGGUAUUCUGUUCGUUUUGACGAUGCGAAUUUUAAAUGUAUUCGCGACGCGAGGACGAAAUUGUAGUUGAUACUACAUUGAGGACGAGCAACAAAGAAGACGAUUAAAAUUCGCUUGCCCGUUGGAAGCGAAAUAAUAAUCAAUUUCUUCGUUUCUCCUCUUCGUAGUAGUGUUUACUACAACUUCAUCGUCGUGCUUCGAAAUUGUUUAUUAUUUCGCUUUCAAAAACAGAACAAAUACCCAGAGUCGGGGGGCCCUGACGGUACCACGAGAAUAAGGGGUUGCUAACCUCGUGAAUCUAACAAAGAUGGUGCGAGGCAUAGGAGUAAUCCUAUGAAAUAAUAUUUGGCUUAUAUGCUGGAACGCUACAUAUAGCUGCGUCCAAUUUAGUUGGAUUAUAUGUAGAAAAUCAGCAGGGAAGCUGGUAUAAUGAGGCAUGGAGCUGGAUAACAAGUUACAAGAUAUAACUAUUGGUUUGCUUCUUGGUGACGGAAGUUUUGAAAAGAAAAAAGAUACGCUUGGCAUAAGAUUGCAAAUAAAACAGCGAUCAAAAGCCAAAGAGUAUGUUGAAUGGCUUUAUGGCCAGUUCAAGGAUUAUUGUCUUUCUGAAAUUAAAUUCAGAGAAGAUUAUAAUCAGUAUUACUUUAGCACGAGAUAUCUUAGAGAAUUUCAAAAUUUAUACGGUCUUUUCUAUAAAGAGGGUAAGAAAAUUAUCCCCUCUAAUUUAAAAGAUUUAUUAAAAUCACCAUUAAGUUUGGCAAUAUGGUAUAUGGAUGAUGGGUCUUUAGAUUUUAGGCCCAAAAAUCAUUAUGCUUUUUAUCUGGCGAGUAAUUGUUUUUCGGUAGGAGAUUCUAACGAACUCAAAAACGUUUUGUUAGAUAAUUUUAAUAUAAAAUCUACCGUAUAUAACAAUUUGUGCAGAGGAAAACGAUACCCGAGAAUUUAUAUUGGAUCAGAAGGCAGAGAUAACUUUUGCCAAACUAUCCGAUCACAUAUUCUUGAUUGUUUUUCUUACAAGUUACCUCAUAAUACUUAGCCCCUCAGAGACUUAUCGAUUUACUCGAUGGAUAGAGAGUCUUUACUUUCUAUAAGACGCCGAACUCCUACAAGUUUUGUAGGAUGAUGAUAUAGUCCAACACAAAUGUUUUUGUAAAAGGCCAGCAGCAGCGGUAAUACGAGGACCCCAAGCGUU